rnacentral:lncRNA from 1 species
UUUAUCAGCACGACUGUCUCUAAAAGCUAUCAAGAAUUAGGUAAGAAACUUUACGUUGAUCGUAAUGUUAUUUUUGUGGUAAGACAUUAUCUUUUGUAUUUGUUUCUAUAUUUUGUUAUUGCGUGAUUGUUUGAAUUUUGCAAUCUAUAUAUUUUGUAGUUUACUAUGUCGAAUCUUGCCAAGAUUGAUUUCACGGCUCUGGAUAUUUCGGGCAAGAAUUACCUGUCAUGGGUGCUAGAUGCUGAAACUCACCUGAAUGCCCAAUGCGGAAUCCGAAUUAAAUAUAAACCAAGCAAACGAGCAAGUAUAAAUCAAAUUGAAAUUCUUGUUCAUGUUAAUUCCAUUUGAAACUGAAGAUUGUGAGAAAGAUUUUACUUUAUUUUGUUUAAUUCAACGAAAUUUUUAAGUAGUCAUUUUUAGGAAAUAUAUUUUGGAACUCCGAAAACCGGUAUGUUACAUAGCUCUUGUCCGU